rnacentral:rRNA from 1 species
UACAGAGGUCUCAAGCGUUGUCCGGAAUCACUGGGCGUAAAGGGCGCGUAGGCGGUCGGGUAAGCGUGCGGUGAAAGUUCGGGGCUCAACCCUGAAUCGGCCGUGCGAACUGCCUGACUCGAGCACACUAGAGGCAGAUGGAAUUCCGGGUGUAGCGGUGGAAUGCGUAGAGAUCCGGAAGAACACCGGUGGCGAAGGCGGUCUGCUGGGGUGGUGCUGACGCUGAGGCGCGACAGCGUGGGGAGCAAACAGG